UACGAAGGGGGCAAGCGUUGUUCGGAAUUACUGGGCGUAAAGGGCGCGUAGGCGGCUUACCAAGUCAGGCGUGAAAUUCCCGGGCUCAACCUGGGGGCUGCGCUUGAUACUGGUGAGCUUGAAUGCGGGAGAGGAUAGUGGAAUUCCCAGUGUAGAGGUGAAAUUCGUAGAUAUUGGGAAGAACACCGGUGGCGAAGGCGGCGACCUGGUCCGAUACUGACGCUGAGGCGCGAAAGCGUGGGGAGCAAACAGG
rnacentral:rRNA from 1 species